rnacentral:rRNA from 1 species
AUUGAACGCUGGCGGCAGGCUUAACACAUGCAAGUCGAGCGGGGGAAGGUAGCUUGCUACCGGACCUAGCGGCGGGCGGGUGAGUAAUGCUUAGGAAUCUGCCUAUUAGUGGGGGACAACAUCUCGAAAGGGAUGCUGAUACCGCAUACGUCCUACGGGAGAAAGCAGGGGAUCUUCGGACCUUGCGCUAAUAGAUGAGCCUAAGUCGGAUUAGCUAGUUGGUGGGGUAAAGGCCUACCAAGGCGACGAUCUGUAGCGGGUCUGAGAGGAUGAUCCGCCACGCUGGGCCUGAGACACGGCCAAGACUCCUACGGGAGGCAGCAGUGGGGAAUAUUGGACAAUGGGGGGAACCCUGAUCCAGCCAUGCCGCGUGUGUGAAGAAGGCCUUAUGGUUGUAAAGCACUUUAAGCGAGGAGGAGGCUACUUUAGUUAAUACCUAGAGAUAGUGGACGUUACUCGCAGAAUAAGCACCGGCUAACUCUGUGCCAGCCGCCGCCGUAA